rnacentral:lncRNA from 1 species
CUUAACGCCAGGAACUGCACCGCAGCACCGCUGAGGGAGUCACGGGGGGAUGUUAAUUAUAACAGAGAGAGUCACUAUUUAUUUUUUGUAGUAGUGUCAUAUGAAUGUAUCUUGGUUUCAAAAUGGUUGCCUUUUUAUAUUAUUUAUGCCUUGAAAUCCCUUUUUUGUUGGUUUUUUUUUUUUCUUCCCCCCACACACCACAAAACUAGCCUGGUUAUGUGUAUGAGAAAGAAUUGUAAUAAUAUAAAGAAUGAGGAUGGGAAAUGUGAAGUGUGUUUCCAUGGCAAUUUACCAGUGGGACAAGUGCUUCCGAGGAGCCCGAGAGAGGGAUUUAAGCAGGUCUGAAAUGACCAACAGCUGCCACCUCCCUGGCAGCUCAGUGACAUGGUACUUGAACCCUCCUUUCCAUGAACACCUCCUGGUCUCUGUUGGUUUCUCUGGGAAGAUCCUGAUGAGGAAAUAAGAUCAAUAAGAAAAGUGAGCCCUGAUUGAGUCUGUCCUGUGCAGCUUGAAGCAGAACUUGAGUCAGUGACUGUGUCUUUAGGUGCUCAACAACCCUUCAGCAGAAGUACAAGUGGAAAUCCAGCCUGUCUCACUUUCCCACUCACAGAAGACAAAAUCCAGUUCAACUCUUGAUUUGAGGGAUUACUAACAGCUUGGAUAGCUCUGAAAUGAAAUCAGUCAUGGUGAAAAGCUCCCAGCAGCCCUGGCCACGACUGUCAGGAACCCACCCAUCCUGGACACAGCACGAUGGAGGUGCUGCAACCUCACCUACAAGGUUUGGGGUUGAGCAUCCUCCCAUCUGGAGCUGCCUUAUUCCAAAGUUCUCUGCACACCAUGGACUUCACACGCUUGGGCUUUGGCUGCCACAUACCCCAGAGCCACCACAGAUCUCACUCCUCCCUUUUUGUUUAUCUUGCCCUCACAGCCUGGAUUUUCCUUUUGCAGGAUCUGCUGCAAUGUUUUCCCCUUUUCCAACAGAGAUUGGCCCACAAGUGGUUGGGAUUUAACUGUGGCUGCUUCAUUUUCACCAAACACUGAAAUUUAACCAUGGUUUUAAAUUUAAAUUUAAAUUUAACCUUGC